CCUACGGGUGGCUGCAGUGAGGAAUAUUGGUCAAUGGGCGAGAGUCUGAACCAGCCAAGUAGCGUGCAGGAUGACUGCCCUAUGGGUUGUAAACUUCUUUUAUAUGGGAAUAAAAUGUUCCACGUGUGGGAUUUUGUAUGUACCAUAUGAAUAAGGAUCGGCUAACUCCGUGCCAGCAGCCGCGGUAAUACGGAGGAUCCGAGCGUUAUCCGGCUUUAUUGGGUUUAAAGGGAGCGUAGAUGGGUUGUUAAGUCAGUUGUGAAAGUUUGCGGCUCAACCGUAAAAUUGCAUUUGAUACUGUCAGUCUAGAGUACAGUUGAGGUAGGCGGAAUUCGUGGUGUAGCGGUGAAAUGCUUAGAUAUCACGAAGAACGCCGAUUGCGAAGGCAGCUUACUAAACUAUAACUGACACUGAAGCACGAAAGCGUGGGGAUCGAACAGGAUUAGAUACCCCUGUAGUC
rnacentral:rRNA from 1 species